AGUGAACGCUGGCGGUAGGCCUAACACAUGCAAGUCGAACGGCAGCACAGUAAGAGCUUGCUCUUACGGGUGGCGAGUGGCGGACGGGUGAGGAAUACAUCGGAAUCUACUUUUUCGUGGGGGAUAACGUAGGGAAACUUACGCUAAUACCGCAUACGACCUACGGGUGAAAGCAGGGGAUCUUCGGACCUUGCGCGAUUGAAUGAGCCGAUGUCGGAUUAGCUAGUUGGCGGGGUAAAGGCCCACCAAGGCGACGAUCCGUAGCUGGUCUGAGAGGAUGAAAGGCCACAGGGGAACUGAGACACGGUCCAGCCUAUUAGGGGAGGGAGCAGUGGGGAAGUUUGGACAAGGGGCGAAGGCCUGAUCCAGCAAUCCCGGGGGGGGGAAGAAGGCUUUGGGUUUGGAAAGCCUUUUUGUGGGGAAAAAAAAGAAGCGUGUUAAUACCCCGUUGUUCUGAGGGUACCAAAAAAAAAGGCCCCGGCUAGCUUGGUG
rnacentral:rRNA from 1 species